rnacentral:lncRNA from 1 species
GAAAAAGGAAGGAGAUCAGAUGGAGAAAUCGCAGGCAUAUGAGUUGAGUUAUAAAACAAAGACGUACUUGGAUAGAUUUUUUUUAAGUGAAGCCAAGAAAUUUACUCAGUAAAAACAGGUUUGGUAUUUUAAGGAGGAUCCUGAGAGCACUUUGAAACCAAAAUACUAUGAGAGAAGGACAAGAAUUGUUAAAACUGAAGAACAAGGGAGAAAGGAGUGCCUUCCUUCUUCCAGUUCACACACGUAUAUCCAGCCCCAAUCCUGGAUGAAAGAUCAAGACGAGAACAUGAACAUGCCAUGGCGACAACUUCAGAAUCCAAGAGCGGCUCAGGGAAAGAGCACCGACGGGCUUGCAAAGGGAGGACGUCUUCCACCAGAGGGAAAAGCCACUGCAGAACACAGCAGUGGAGCAACAGCGCCACCAAGCGAACAGCCACCAUUUCUCAAGGCAUCUGCUUUUCAGAAAUCUUCGCGUUACGGGGCUAUUUCUGGAAUUUAAAGGUGAAUCACAAUCCAUAAGGCUUCUUUCUUCCUUCCUUUUUUUUUCUUUCCCCUUUUAAAAAAAGUCCAAAAACUACCCUCAAAUUCCCUCCACCUCUGCUCCUCCGCAGAGCGGGACAACUGAAGACAUGUGGAGGCCAGAGAGCUAGGGCGGCUUUGGGUGUUGCUAUGGUAACUUUCCCCUUUAUUGAUAAUCUUGUGGAAGCUUUGAAAAUGUCUGCUUGCUGUUACUUUGUUUUUCAAGCUUUGCUUUACCGUAUUUAAUUUGUUUCACCUUCUGAUUUGUUUAAUGACAUGUUAUUAAAAUUCCCGAGGAGUCCGCAGGAAUCUUCGCUGCUGAGAGGCAGAACUGCAUUCUGGAAGCUUCGGUGAUUCCUAUCCGAGCACCCCUUGCUGCUGCUGCUGCUGCUGCUGCUGCUGCUAACUCGCUUCAGUCGUGUCCGACUCUGUGAGACCCCACAGACGGCAGCCCACCAGGCUCCCCCGUCCCUGGGAUUCUCCAGGCAAGAACACUGGAGUGGGUUGCCAUUUCCUUCUCCAAUGCGUGAAAACAAGGUUUUAAAACCCAUUAGGGUAUCACUGCUGAGCCGCUGAGGACAGACCUGUGUUGGCCUGGAAGCUGCAGCAGGCAGCUCAACGUCUUAAGGCGAUGCUGGAAAAGCCGGCUUUGUCUUUUCAUCCCUGCCCCUGGUCUCCGUUGCUGCAGGCCCUGGGUGUGAGAAAAGUGACCCUGAUUGCCCAUAGCGCUUGCUUGUUUUCUCUCAUUAACCACUCCUACCAGACAGGAGAACAAUGUUCUGUGCUCAAUUAGAAUGACGCUAACAUGCCUCCGGGAGGUCUGUCUAGCGCGGAGAGGAGAGGCAACUGUGGAACAGGCCACUAGGCGGUAAAGGCAAGGCCCCGCCUCCUUCUCUGGCCCUGGAA